GACGAACGCUGGCGGCGUGCUUAACACAUGCAAGUCGAACGGAAAGGCCCUGCUUUUGUGGGGUGCUCGAGUGGCGAACGGGUGAGUAACACGUGAGUAACCUGCCCUUGACUUUGGGAUAACUUCAGGAAACUGGGGCUAAUACCGGAUAGGAGCUCCUGCUGCAUGGUGGGGGUUGGAAAGUUUCGGCGGUUGGGGAUGGACUCGCGGCUUAUCAGCUUGUUGGUGGGGUAGUGGCUUACCAAGGCUUUGACGGGUAGCCGGCCUGAGAGGGUGACCGGCCACAUUGGGACUGAGAUACGGCCCAGACUCCUACGGGAGGCAGCAGUGGGGAAUAUUGCACAAUGGGCGGAAGCCUGACGCAGCAACGCCGCGUGCGGGAUGACGGCCUUCGGGUUGUAAACCGCUUUCGCCUGUGACGAGGCGUGAGUGACGGUAAUGGGUAAAGAAGCACCGGCUAACUACGUG
rnacentral:rRNA from 1 species